UGGGGAAUAUUGCACAAUGGGCGCAAGCCUGAUGCAGCCAUGCCGCGUGUGUGAAGAAGGCCUUCGGGUUGUAAAGCACUUUCAGCGAGGAGGAAGGUGGUGAGCUUAAUACGCUCAUCAAUUGACGUUACUCGCAGAAGAAGCACCGGCUAACUCCGUGCCAGCAGCCGCGGUAAUACGGAGGGUGCAAGCGUUAAUCGGAAUUACUGGGCGUAAAGCGCACGCAGGCGGUUUGUUAAGUCAGAUGUGAAAUCCCCGGGCUCAACCUGGGAACUGCAUUUGAAGCUGGCAAGCUAGAGUCUCGUAGAGGGGGGUAGAAUUCCAGGUGUAGCGGUGAAAUGCGUAGAGAUCUGGAGGAAUACCGGUGGCGAAGGCGGCCCCCCUGGACGAAGACUGACGCUCAGGUGCGAAAGCGUGGGGCAGCAAACAGGAUUAGAUACCCUGGUAGUCCACGCUGUAAACGAUGUCGAUUUGGAGG
rnacentral:rRNA from 1 species